UUUAUAGGCAGGCCGAAGUUUCUAGUAUAGAAACGCGGGGAAACCAUUUUUGGGGCGAGUUUCCGGUUCCUGGAGUAAUGACGGCCAGGAAGGGGAUAGGGCUAACCCGAGCCCGAGCCCGUCAGCUAACCUCGUAGGCGACACGGGUGUUGCA
rnacentral:sRNA from 2 species